UUGAUUCUUAAAUUAGCGGACAUAACGAUUCCAUUUUGAAAACAUCGCUUAGAUGGAGCCAAUAACGCCUUGGAAUUAAUAAUUUAUUGUAAAUUUAAUUUAUUUAUUUUCUGCUUGGCUAACAAUGCCACCUCUUAUCUUGUGUCUUAUUUAAAUGUAAAUUCCGUAUAAUCAGAUUGUUCUGUUAGUAAAAACCAAUUAGAGAAAAUAAAUUAGAGAAGCGGCACAAUACAGAAAGUAAAACACACAGAUCUUGUAAUCACGUAUUACAGAAUAACACAAUGGAUGGUGAUCAUUAUACAAUAAUUUUCAAAACAAGUGCAUUGAAAUCACAAGUUAAAAGUCGAUUUCAAUAUGUAAAAAUUACCUACACAAGUUUGCAUGUCACCGAGCGAUCAGUGAUUCGACUCAUAAAAUGCAGCAUAUUUUUUUUCUUUUUUUUUUUACGAAAUAGAAAAUUUAAUUAGAAAAGUAAUCAGUUUGGACAUUCCUUUUGCCUACAAAGAGAUAUUUAAUCUCUUCUCUUAAGCUAUAAAAAUCUUUUCGAGGAUUCAGUAACAUCCAAACCUCACAGUUAUUUUUUUGUUAUCGUGGCACACUAAUCAAGUUGUUACCAUACAAAAUAAGUGCAGAUAUUAUUACCCUGCUUUCGUACAAUGGUUAAGACACAGAAGAACUGUAACAAAAAGGCAUGGAAAAUUAACAAUACACUUAAAUAAAUAAAAAAAUAAGUUAUUCAUUUUAAGAAUUAAUAUAUUUUACUGUGGAUGAAAAAUAAUAGUUAAGAGAAAAAAGAAACUUGAAACAGAUACAUAAAAAAAUAUGAAAUAUACGGUUAUUUAGCAAUCCUGAAAUUUUGAGGCUCACAAUUUAAUUAGUGUCCUGAGUUACUUUUUAGGCAAGAUAUUGCAUUGUAUAGUAUUGUUACUCAGUAAACACAUUAAUCAGUAAGUCAAACACAAUAUAAAUGUUGUAACUCUCCUGGAAUAAUUACAAAAAAAGAAGACACUUGGUCCAUUGAUAUUUUCAGGACUAUGGCUUAUAUGUGCACCAGUAAUCUCAUGUCAGCAUUGUCAGAAAAUGGCGUGGCAUUCUUUGUCUAUCCCUGGUCUAACAUUAUAAGACUAUGAACAGUUGCAUGUUUUUUUUUUUUUUACUACAGUGUCAACUUUUGUGCAUUCAAAUUGAAUUUAACAUUUUAAGCAGAAAAUACAGCUGACUAGAGUUUUUUUUGCUUUGUCAUUAUGGGCUAAAAUUUGAAAUCAACUUUGAAAAACAUACCAGCUAUCUGACUUAUAAUUUAUAAUUUUACUGUUUAUUUAGUGGUUUUGAAAAUUGUUUACCCAGGAGGACAGGCAUGUACAGGACAUAGGGUAUGCUCUUUCUAUGCUUUAAUAAACCCUACUUAAUAUAAUCUAGGAUAAAAUAAAUUAUAAUUUAAAAUGUUUUGGCUUAGUGAAACGUAGGUGAAUUAACAUACAUAGUCAUGAUUGAUUUCUUCAAAAACUAAGCAAAUUAUAACAAAUGAAUGAAACACUGCCCAUAGGGAUGUAAAGAAGGGAACAUUUUGCUCUGCAUUAUGGCUUGCCUUGGUACACUGGCUCAUGCCUUGUGCAUAACAAUGAUUAUCAAUAUACUGUGAUGUUUUUUGAGGCACAUCACCCACAUCAGUGUUACCAAGAUAUUUUACUGAAAUGCAACUUAAAAUUUGCUUAAUAGAUAGUCAAUAAAUGCAUAUUUUUUAAGGAACCAACAUUUUCUAUGACAAUUACAGAGUAUAGCAUUUAUGACGUAAUUAUGGGUAUAACAUACUUUUUAUAAUUCUAGUUGAUUUCUGUUUUUAUUUGCAGUAUCAUAAGAUGGAUAACAAUUUAGUGAAAUCAAUAGUUUAACAAUGACUGGUUACCUAUGUGUUUGCUGCACAAUUAUUUCUUGGUCAGAUAGUGGAAUGAGUGCAAUGGUUAUCAUUGAGGCCUGUUUUACCUUUUGAAGAAAACAUUUUGUGGUUACAAUUUGCAUGUUUACCUAAUUUAGCAGCAUUUUGCCUGAUAAACCCCCAUAUAAAUACGAGAAAAUAAAAGGCUUACCUAAGAUAUCAGCAAGAGUCAUAAGAUCAUGAGUCAUAAAAUUGCACACCUUGGCGGAAGGGUCAUUGUCUCACUUUGUAUUUUUAACUUUCCAUUGAUUAAACUCCUGAAGAAUAACUUUUUAUAAGCUUCACUGGUUACAUUGGUGAUGCAGUUACCUUAUUUAGAGGUCAGAUUCUAACCACAAACUCUGCAUUAUAAGGAACAGCUAUAACUUAAAUGAUAUUGUUAAAUAGUAAUGAUUCCACAUGAAGAUACAAUAUAUUAAUUUAAAUUAAAUAAAAAAGAUAGGUUGAAGUGGAUCAAGCGCCACUGUUAAAAGGUUGCUUAAGAGGGACAUGUCCUACACAACCAAUACUAAUUCUGGGAACCCAAAAAUUAAAAUAAUUUUUGUUUUCAAGACAAAUAAAAUACAUUUUGGGUUAUUUAAGUGAUAGAAACACGCAUUCACAUAUUGGUUCAUCAGUCAAUAAGGAUGCACACACAGAGUUUAUUUAACCAAACAUCGAGUUGUGGAAAAUUGACAAAGAAACAGCAAAUUCUGGCCAAAGUAGUAGAACUGGAAAGAUUAUUUUGGCCCAAAAUGCACAAAUCUUUUGUAUGAGAAUUACUCAUAGACACAAAAAAAUAAAAUAAAAUAGGCAAGCUGGAAAUUAGAAUCUCUAAUUAUUCUGAUUGCACGGUGGUUAUCUGUUCACUGUAACUCUUUGAACAUAUAUCGAGAUAGAAUCAUGGCUCUACUUUACCUACUAUGUCAAAAUACUUGUUAUAACCUGCUUAGGGUCUGAAUCAAAGUUUUUUUUUCUAAUGUUUUUAACAAUAU
rnacentral:lncRNA from 1 species